ACGGAAGCCCGGCAAGGCCAAGAUGUCACCAGAAGAGAAGGCGACACCUCCCGAACCGCGGCGACCCAGCACGGAACCCGGCACCCACGCGGAGCACCUGCCGCGAAAUUGGCAAAAGUGUUGCGGGCCUGCGUUGAUGCGAGGAGCGGACGACCACGACGGCUCUUUGGGUGGAGCAGUCCGUCGAAGCGCAUCGCACUGACGCCGAGGCCGACCCACGCAACCCCCACAGCACGCUUGGUAACCGGACUCCGGGCUGGCGGGCGGCGAACUGAAUUCGGAUUCGGAUCGCCGCCCGCUUCACGUU
rnacentral:ncRNA from 1 species